rnacentral:rRNA from 1 species
CCCUUAGAUGUUCUGGGCUGCACGCGCGCUACACUGAUGCGCUCAACGAGUUUAUGAACUUGCCCGGAAGGGUUGGUUAAUCUUUUUAAAACGCAUCGUGAUGGGGAUAGAUUAUUGCAAUUAUUAAUCUUCAACGAGGAAUUCCUAGUAAGCGCGAGUCAUCAGCUCGUGCUGAUUACGUCCCUGCCCUUUGUACACACCGCCCGUCACUCCUACCGAUUGAGUGAUCCGGUGAAUAAUUCGGACUGCAGUCGUGUUCAGUUCCUGAACGUGGCAGCGGAAAGUUUAGUGAACCUUAUCGCUUAGAGGAAGGAGAAGUCGUAACA